ACCUCCCUCUUUCUUCAUGCCUAACACAUGCAAGUCGAACGAGACCUUCGGGUCUAGUGGCGCACGGGUGCGUAACGCGUGGGAACCUGCCCUUAGGUUCGGAAUAACUCCCCGAAAGGGGUGCUAAUACCGGAUAAUGUCUUCGGACCAAAGAUUUAUCGCCUUUGGAUGGGCCCGCGUUGGAUUAGCUAGUUGGUAGGGUAAAAGCCUACCAAGGCGACGAUCCAUAGCUGGUCUGAGAGGAUGAUCAGCCACACUGGGACUGAGACACGGCCCAGACUCCUACGGGAGGCAGCAGUGGGGAAUAUUGGACAAUGGGCGAAAGCCUGAUCCAGCAAUGCCGCGUGAGUGAUGAAGGCCUUAGGGUUGUAAAGCUCUUUUACCCGGGAUGAUAAUGACAGUACCGGGAGAAUAAGCUCCGGCUAACUCCGU
rnacentral:rRNA from 1 species